GAGAGAUUAGCUCAUCUGGAUAGAGCGGAAGGCGGCAGGUUCGAGUCCUGUCUCUCUCA
rnacentral:tRNA from 1 species